GACGAACGCUGGCGGCGUGCCUAAUACAUGCAAGUUGAGCGCUGAAGGUUGGUACUUGUACCGACUGGAUGAGCAGCGAACGGGUGAGUAACGCGUGGGGAAUCUGCCUUUGAGCGGGGGACAACAUUUGGAAACGAAUGCUAAUACCGCAUAAAAACUUUAAACACAAGUUUUAAGUUUGAAAGAUGCAAUUGCAUCACUCAAACAUGAUCCCGCGUUGUAUUAGCUAGUUGGUGAGGUAAAGGCUCACCAAGGCGAUGAUACAUGGCCGACCUGAGAGGGUGAUCGGCCACAUUGGGACUGAGACACGGCCCAAACUCCUACGGGAGGCAGCAGUAGGGAAUCUUCGGCAAUGGACGAAAGUCUGACCGAGCAACGCCGCGUGAGUGAAGAAGGUUUUCGGAUCGUAAAACUCUGUUGGUAGAGAAGAACGUUGGUGAGAGUGGAAAGCUCAUCAAGUGACGGUAACUACCCAGAAAGGGACGGCUAACUACGUG
rnacentral:rRNA from 1 species